CCGGGCCCGCGCGACAGCCUGCGCCGUCACCCGGAUCGGGCGCACGCGCGCGACGAACGCGCGCGCGCCCCGCAGUCCCGAGCGGCCGCCAGAGCCGCGAAGGCCCAUCGGCGCGACGGCCGCGCGCCGAUCGCAAGCCGCCGCGCGCCGCCCGAAGACGACGCGCGUCAACCCAUGUCAGGAGAAUGUUCAUGCAAGGCACCGUAAGUCUAUGGCCGCUGAUCGGCGUCGCCGUGAUCGUCGUCGGCUUCGCGCUGCGCUUCAAUCCGAUGCUGAUCGUCGCGACCGCGGCGAUCGUGACGGCCGCGAGCGCGCACUUCCCACCCGAGCGGAUCCUCGCCGCGAUCGGCGCGGGCUUCCUCAAGACGCGCAACAUCCCGCUCAUCAUCCUGCUGCCGCUCGCCGUGAUCGGCCUGCUCGAGCGGCACGGGCUGCGCGAACGCGCGCAGGCCUGGAUCGCGAGCAUCAGGGCGGCCACCGCGGGGCGCCUGCUGAUCCUCUAUCUGCUCGUGCGCGAGCUGACCGCGGCCGUCGGCCUGACGGGCCUGGGCGGCCAUCCGCAGAUGGUGCGGCCGCUGAUCGCGCCGAUGGCCGAAGGCGCGACCGAGAACCGUUUCGGUCCGCUGCCCGACGCGAUCCGCCACCGGCUGCGCGCGUACGCGGCCGCGACCGACAACGUCGGCCUCUUCUUCGGCGAGGAUAUCUUCGUCGCGUUCGGCGCGAUCGUGCUGAUGGUGACGUUCCUGAAGGAGGCCGGCAUCGCCGUCGAGCCGAUGCGCGUCGCGCUGUGGGGCAUCCCGACCGCCGUGUCCGCGUUCGUGAUCCACGGCGCGCGGCUGUGGCUGCUCGAUCGCCGGCUCGAGCGCGAACUGCGCGCGAGCGCCGCGCCGCACGCCGCCUCGAAUGGCGCGAACGCCGCCGCCGACAACGGAGGCCGCGCAUGACGCUCACGAUCGGUUACCUGUUCUGGCUCGUCGGCCUCGUGCUGCUCGCGGUGGGCGCGACGAUCGUCACGGACCGCGCGCACCCGCGCCGCUUCACCGCGGGCGGCUUCUGGCUGCUGUACGCGCUCGUCUUCCUCGUCGGCGACAAGCUGCCCGUCGAGCUCGUCGGCGCGCUCGUGAUCGUGAUGGCGCUGAUCGCGGGUUUCGGCGGCGUGACGGCGGCGAGACCGAAGCUGCCGUCCGACGAUGCGCGCCGCGCGAGCGCCGCGCGCAUCGGCAACCGGCUGUUCGUGCCCGCGCUCACGAUCCCGUUCGUGACGGUCGCGAUCACCCUCGCGGCCAGCCAUCUGCACGUCGGCGGCGCGCCGCUCGUCGAUCC
rnacentral:rRNA from 1 species